rnacentral:rRNA from 1 species
GUCGAACGGAAAGGCCCUGCUUUUGUGGGGUGCUCGAGUGGCGAACGGGUGAGUAACACGUGAGUAACCUGCCCUUGACUUUGGGAUAACUUCAGGAAACUGGGGCUAAUACCGGAUAGGAGCUCCUGCUGCAUGGUGGGGGUUGGAAAGUUUCGGCGGUUGGGGAUGGACUCGCGGCUUAUCAGCUUGUUGGUGGGGUAGUGGCUUACCAAGGCUUUGACGGGUAGCCGGCCUGAGAGGGUGACCGGCCACAUUGGGACUGAGAUACGGCCCAGACUCCUACGGGAGGCAGCAGUGGGGAAUAUUGCACAAUGGGCGGAAGCCUGAUGCAGCAACGCCGCGUGCGGGAUGACGGCCUUCGGGUUGUAAACCGCUUUCGCCUGUGACGAAGCGUGAGUGACGGUAAUGGGUAAAGAAGCACCGGCUAACUACGUGCCAGCAGCCGCGGUGAUACGUAGGGUGCGAGCGUUGUCCGGAUUUAUUGGGCGUAAAGGGCUCGUAGGUGGUUGAUCGCGUCGGAAGUGUAAUCUUGGGGCUUAACCCUGAGCGUGCUUUCGAUACGGGUUGACUUGAGGAAGGUAGGGGAGAAUGGAAUUCCUGGUGGAGCGGUGGAAUGCGCAGAUAUCAGGAGGAACACCAGUGGCGAAGGCGGUUCUCUGGGCCUUUCCUGACGCUGAGGAGCGAAAGCGUGGGGAGCGAACAGGCUUAGAUACCCUGGUAGUCCACGCUGUAAACGGUGGGUACUAGGUGUGGGGUCCAUUCCACGGGUUCCGUGCCGUAGCUAACGCUUUAAGUACCCCGCCUGGGGAGUACGGCCGCAAGGCUAAAACUCAAAGGAAUUGACGGGGCCCCGCACAAGCGGCGGAGCAUGCGGAUUAAUUCGAUGCAACGCGUAGAACCUUACCUGGGUUUGACAUGGAUCGGGAGUGCUCAGAGAUGGGUGUGCCUCUUUUGGGGUCGGUUCACAGGUGGUGCAUGGCUGUCGUCAGCUCGUGUCGUGAGAUGUUGGGUUAAGUCCCGCAACGAGCGCAACCCUUGUUCACUGUUGCCAGCACGUUAUGGUGGGGACUCAGUGGAGACCGCCGGGGUCAACUCGGAGGAAGGUGGGGAUGACGUCAAGUCAUCAUGCCCCUUAUGUCCAGGGCUUCACGCAUGCUACAAUGGCUGGUACAGAGAGUGGCGAGCCUGUGAGGGUGAGCGAAUCUCGGAAAGCCGGUCUCAGUUCGGAUUGGGGUCUGCAACUCGACCUCAUGAAGUCGGAGUCGCUAGUAAUCGCAGAUCAGCAACGCUGCGGUGAAUACGUUCCCGGGGCUUGUACACACCGCCCGUCAAGUCAUGAAAGUUGGUAACACCCGAAGCCGGUGGCCUAACCGU